CAGCCGCGGUAAUACGGAGGGCCCGAGCGUUGUUCGGAUUUCUGGGCGUAAAGGGCGUCUAGGCGGGCUCGUCAGUCGGGUAUGAAAGCCCUCGGCUCAACCGGGGAAUGGUGUCCGAUACUGCGAGCCUUGAGUGCAGCAGAGGAGAGUGGAACUCCUGGUGGAGCGGUGAAAUGCGUAGAUAUCAGGAGGAACGCCGGAGGCGAAAGCGACUCUCUGGGUUGUCACUGACGCUGAAGCGCGAAAGCCAGGGGAGCGAACGGGAUUAGAUACCCCGGUAGUCCUGGCCGUAAACGAUGGGCACUAGGUAGAGGAGGUUCUGACGCCUUUUCUGCCGUAGCUAACGCAUUAAGUGCCCCGCCUGGGGAGUACGGUCGCAAGACUAAAACUCAAAGGAAUUGACGGGGGCUCGCACAAGCGGUGGAGCAUGUGGCUUAAUUCGAGGCAACGCGAAGAACCUUAUCCUGGGCUUGACAUGCCGGUGGUACAACCCUGAAAGGGGAAGGACCUCUUUACCGAGGAGCCGGCACAGGUGCUGCAUGGCUGUCGUCAGCUCGUGUCGUGAGAUGUUGGGUUAAGUCCCGCAACGAGCGCAACCCUCGUUACUAGUUGCCAUCAGUUCGGCUGGGCACUCUAGUGAGACUGCCGGUGAUAAACCGGAGGAAGGUGAGGAUGAUGUCAAGUCAUCAUGGCCCUUACGCCCAGGGCUACACACGUGCUACAAUGGUCGGCACAAAGGGUCGCUAAGCCGCGAGGUGGAGCUAAUCCCAAAAAGCCGGCCUCAGUUCGGAUUGGAGUCUGCAACCCGACUCCAUGAAGGCGGAAUCGCUAGUAAUCGCGGAUCAGCAUGCCGCGGUGAAUAUGUUCCCGGGGC
rnacentral:rRNA from 1 species